CUCAGGAGGUAGAGCAGGUCAUCUACUGAUCAGCAGUUUGACCCUGGCUCCCCGCUCUGUAUGAAUUUUUGGCUGUUCUUAGCCACAUUGUUUGGCCAGGAGAUGAGGGCGAUGAUGAAGACGAUGAUGAUCCACCUUACCCACAAAGCAUCCAAAUGCAAACAGUGGGAUUUCUGAAGACCUACAUUGAAACAGCCACUCCAUUCCAGCUCAGCCAGCUGAUGAGGUUUUGGGUCGGGUGGGAAAUUCCGACUGGUACCAUGAAGGUUGAAGUAGUCGAAGCAGACUACCUCAUAUCCUCUACAUGUUUUGGAACGUUGCGUGUGCCUGGGCACUUCCACGAGUACAAUGUCUUUUCCAAACAUGUUGAUGAUUGCAUUGCAACUUGUGCCACAGGUUUCGGCCUUAUUUAAAAGCAAUUUGUAGACACUGGAUGUCGAAUAAACUUGCUAAACCAUGCUUGAAAAAUGUUUUACAUAGCCAAAAGUUUCACUGUUACUUAGGCUUAUUGAUUUUUUGUGAAUAUUGUUAUGCGAGUUUAAAUAUAAAAAUUAAAGUUACAGUUCCCACCAUUAACAUUUAUAUUUGAAGUUAAGGAACUAAUGAUUGUGUUAUUUAGGUUUCAGUCAUUGUCAUGCAUCCGAUUUACAUCAUCUCUUUGUUUGAAGAAGUUUCCUGGAUUACACGAUUAAUACCAAAGCUGUAUUAAAUGUUACACACAGUCCAAUGAUGUUGAAUAUAAUGUUAAUAAAAAUCUGCCACACUGUCA
ensembl:lncRNA